CCCUUAGAUGUUCGGGGCCGCACGCGCGCUACACUGAAGGAAUCAGCACGUCUUUCUCCUUGUCCGAAAGGACUGGGUAACCCGCUGAACCUCCUUCGUGCUAGGGAUUGGGGCUUGUAAUUCUUCCCCAUGAACGAGGAAUUCCCAGUAGGCGCGAGUCAUAAGCUCGCGUUGAUUACGUCCCUGCCCUUUGUACACACCGCCCGUCGCUACUACCGAUUGGAUGGUUUAGUGAGAUCCUCGGAUUGGUCCCGGAGCGGCCUCUGGUCGUGCCGGAGUGCCGAAAAGAAUGUCGAACUUGAUCAUCUAGAGGAAGUAAAAGUCGUAACA
rnacentral:rRNA from 1 species